rfam:Nematostella vectensis strain CH2 x CH6 NEMVEscaffold_32_Cont5596, whole genome shotgun sequence.
GCCUCUGUAGCUAAGUGGUUAGAGCACUGGUCUAUUAAACCACUGGGGUCCAGAGUUCGAAUCUCUCCAACUGCG